ACUUCCCUGGGGUGCGCGAGCUUGGUUUGACUUAUUUUGGAACCGAUAUUAUAAGAAUGGGAGUCUUCCCUUACUGUGGUGUGCAGGCCCGCCGCGCCCACAUCUUUGGGUGCGGGACGGGGAAGCCUAAAGCAGUAAUAAGACGCCCCCCUGUGGAGAACAGGGUUCAAAAAUAGUCUAGCCACACGGCACCCUGGGGAAUGA
rnacentral:other from 1 species